AGGAAAUUUAGGUCAGGUAUCAGAAAUUGUUUGCUGCGAAGGUGGCCAGGCACUGGCACAGGAAACGGUUAAUGAUUAGCCUGCACGAACGCAGAUCAGGAAUCCAAUAAGAGAACACCUGAGACCAAAAAUCACCAUUGGAUCAAGAGGCGCGAGAAGAAUGGCCUGAGGGUAUAAAAGCUCAGGGACCUUUUUGUGGAGUGUCCAUCUGUGAAGACACCCAGCUUGAGCUGACCUGCCGCUGUACCAGGCUAUUACUGUUUACUUUCAGUAAUCCAGCACCUGAGACUGCGACAGGGAAGCUCGGGCUGAGCGCGGAGGAGGAGGAAGCGUGCCUGGCAGUGAGUGUGGGUGAGCUGUGAGGCCGCCCAACCUCCCCUGGGCAGAGCUGCUUCGGAGCACACCAGCUUAGCUCUGCUCCAGGAGGUGCCAUCCCCCCCACCUGGUGUUCCUGGUGUCCCAGUCAGCUUCCAGGUGGAUGCAGAAUGUUUCAAAAUACACUGAAAUUCUGAGCAGUGGCACCAAGUUCUACAGGAUGGGGUGAAAAUAAAACUGCCCAGAGGAGUCUUCUUCAUAACUUCUCCAUUAACCUGUGAAGUAUCAGAAGAUCCUAGACUAAUUUUCCACAGUCUGUGGCUGAAGGCAGUAUUUAUCACUACCACCAACAUUAUAUACAGACUCCAUCAGCCUUUCCACCUUGCCUUUUAUUCCUGGGAAUAAAUCUGAUUGACUGCAGACAUUUGCUGCCAGUGAACACGAGGAGCAAUUUAUACUCAACAACCCAGUUAUAAAGUUCUAAGUACAGCAGUGCAAAUGUUUGGUGAUUUGAAGCACAUGCAAAUUGAAGCAGAGCUGCCUGUUCCCGAGAAGCUACUAGCGAAAACUCUUGAGAAGAAUCAUUAUCAGAGCUGUUGACUGGUAAACAAAAGCAAGUUACACCUCCAGGGCCCAGAAAAAGAAGGUAAACAAAAACCAGCUAUUCAGAUGAAAUGCAAACAAAUGCUCUGGAGAGAGAACAUUCCUAUAAACAGUCAUUAUAUCGUAACUCACAGACUGCAGAAUUCGGGAGCAGCUAUAAAUUGAGCUUAGUGUGGAGUUUGAAAUAGCAGCUGCGUUUGUAGAACAUAUGUUUGACUGCAAUCACAAGUGAUUCACUUAACCACCCAUCUCCAAUAUAAAUAGUAUCUCAUACUUAAGGAUGUUCAUGGUGCUUAGCAAGUUUGAGGUACCUCAAGUUUUUCUGUUCCUCCCAAAGUAUGGCUUCACUCAUGCCUUUGUACUGGUUGGAAAUUGCAUCCAUCUACAUAUAUAAAAGAGAGAUAUUUUGCAUCUCACUGUCUGUUAACAAAUGACAGAGAUCUGGGGCCAGCUGUACCUUUUACUGACUUGGCUGCA